CUGCCAUUGCGACCACUCACUCCGACUUCCACCAUUACCGUCGCUCAAUCCUCCGCCAGAACGUUGAUGGUGACUAAAGAGGUGCAGAGAAAAUGCUGCUGCAUCGUAGACAAUCUGGAUUAAACCCAGAGGUAUACGGCUACCUUAUCGCCUUGACUGCUGUGGUUAAAGAGUUUAAUGAAAAAAGCUCUACACGAACUCGAAAGUUGUGCAAGAGAGGGGAUAGUGGCUGAACUCGAUAAAGACAACAUUGAACUUGUUGAGGGGUAUCAAACAGAGAUUUUAGCUGAUGGUGCACAGUUAUCCAACUGGUUUCUUGAAGAGGUAAGCUCUUCAAUUCAUGGGGUGGUUCAUGAAAGACUCCUAAUGUAUGCUUGUGCUGAGCAAGGACUUGAGGCAGAGAGAUAGCUUUGGGAAAUGAAUCUUGUAGUGUCUCAAGGGUGAAGAAUCUGGUUUUCGCUGUGAAUCAAAUGCUAGAUUGAAAAGGAAAAAAAACAGUCUACUUUUUCUAGGUGGAUCGGGUCAAAUGAGAACCAGAAUAAGACAACCAAAUAGAAAAAGGAGAAGAUCAAGUGAAUUGGGCCGGCUGUUUAAAGAAAGAGUUUGUGAAGCCUUGCUCGUGAACUCCGGAAUGUUAUGUUUGACAGCACCUUGGAUGUGGCCUUCAGAAGACAACACAUGGCCUGUCCCUUCGUUGGAUAUCCAGGUUUUACACCAUUCCAUUAUUACAAUACUCUGUUUAAUGUCAAUAAUUUCUGUGCCUAUAUGAUUGAUGCAAGACGUCUUUUCUUAUAAUGUCAGUAAAAGGAACCAACCCAAAGUGUGUCGGUCGGGUUAAUAUAUAAGAUUAGGCUUAACUAACACCAAAACCAUACAUUGUGUUGAGGAGAACAAAAAAGUUGACGUCAAAAUUGAGUAUAUAUGUGGCUGAACUCAUCAAAUCAACCCACCCUAUUACAGAUGAGUUCAAAUCAAACCGAACAGACUGAAGCUCUAAAAGGCUAUCUAAGUUGAAUUGCAAACAAUAAAAUCUACCCAAAAUGAUUUUCUUUAAUUUUCUCUGCUAAAGAUUCACAUGGUUGGCUGAGGCAGGCAUGGUACUGCCUAAUUGUUGUUUGUUGUGUAUAGUUUUAUUAUAUGAAAGUUCCCAUACAACACGCAGGAAAAUUCCUGCAACAGAAUAUCCAUGUGUUUACCUGUCCUGUUUCUGUCGCCACUCAGCUUCCAUUAUUCACAUCUUCAAACCAUUCGCUUCCCAUUCCCUUCCCCUUCUGCUUUGGCAUGUGCAAUGUGAAAGAGCUUGAU